rnacentral:tRNA from 1 species
GAGAGUAUAGCUCACUGGUAGGGUGUGUGUUUAGAAUGCACAAGGCCCUGGGUUCAAUCCCCAGUGUCUCC